rnacentral:rRNA from 1 species
AUCUCGAGAAGUGUUUUCCGCGCCGGACUUUAUACAAGUCUGUUGGAAUACAGCGUCAUAGUGGUGAGAACCCCGUAACUGAUGCGGAUGCCCGGUGCUUUGUGAUACACUUUCGAAGAGUCGAGUUGUUUGGGAAUGCAGCUCAAAUUGGGUGGUAAAUUCCAUCUAAAGCUAAAUAUUGGCGAGAGACCGAUAGCGAACAAGUACCGUGAGGGAAAGAUGAAAAGCACUUUGGAAAGAGAGUUAACAGUACGUGAAAUUGUUGGAAGGGAAACGCUUGAAGUCAGACUUGCUAUUUGGAAUUCAGCCGCAAGGUGUACUUUUCAAUUCGCAGGCCAGCAUCAGUUUUCGGGGGUGGAAAAGGGUAGAGAGAAGGUAGCAAUUUCGGUUGUGUUAUAGCUCUUUGCUGGAUUCAUCCUUGGGGACUGAGGAACGCAGCACGCUUUUUGCAAGGCUUUCGAGCUUUUCGUGCUUAGGAUGCUGGUGGAAUGGCUUUAAACGACCCGUC